AAGGCCGGCGGUAGAAUUUGAUCCUGGCUCAGGAUGAACGCUAGCGACAGGCUUAACACAUGCAAGUCGAGGGGCAGCAUGAGGUAGCAAUACCUUGAUGGCGACCGGCGCACGGGUGAGUAACGCGUAUGCAACCUGCCUGAUACCGGGGUAUAGCCCAUGGAAACGUGGAUUAACACCCCAUAGUACUUUUAUCCUGCAUGGGAUGUGAGUUAAAUGUUUAAGGUAUCGGAUGGGCAUGCGUCCUAUUAGUUAGUUGGGCGGGGUAACAGCCCACCAAGACGAUGAUAGGUAGGGGUUCUGAGAGGAAGGUCCCCCACAUUGGAACUGAGACACGGUCCAAACUCCUACGGGAGGCAGCAGUGAGGAAUAUUGGUCAAUGGACGAGAGUCUGAACCAGCCAAGUCGCGUGAGGGAAGACUGCCCUAUGGGUUGUAAACCUCUUUUAUAAGGGAAGAAUAAGUUCUACGUGUAGAAUGAUGCCUGUACCUUAUGAAUAAGCAUCGGCUAACUCCGUGCCAGCAGCCGCGGUAAUACGGAGGAUGCGAGCGUUAUCCGGAUUUAUUGGGUUUAAAGGGUGCGUAGGCGGUUUAUUAAGUUAGUGGUUAAAUAUUUGAGCUAAACUCAAUUGUGCCAUUAAUACUGGUAAACUGGAGUACAGACGAGGUAGGCGGAAUAAGUUAAGUAGCGGUGAAAUGCAUAGAUAUAACUUAGAACUCCGAUAGCGAAGGCAGCUUACCAGACUGUAACUGACGCUGAUGCACGAGAGCGUGGGUAGCGAACAGGAUUAGAUACCCUGGUAGUCCACGCCGUAAACGAUGCUCACUGGUUCUGUGCGAUAUAUUGUACGGGAUUAAGCGAAAGUAUUAAGUGAGCCACCUGGGGAGUACGUCGGCAACGAUGAAACUCAAAGGUAUUGACGGGGGCCCGCACUAGCGGAGGAACAUGUGGUUUAAUUCGACCUGGGUUUAGAUGGGAAAUGUCGUAUUUGGAAACAGAUAUUCUCUUCGGAGCGUUUUUCAAGGUGCUGCAUGGUUGUCGUCAGCUCGUGCCGUGAGGUGUCGGGUUAAGUCCCAUAACGAGCGCAACCCUUACCGUUAGUUGCUAGCAGCACUCUAACGGGACUGCCACCGUAAGGUGAGAGGAAGGCGGGGAUGACGUCAAAUCAGCACGGCCCUUACACCCAGGGCUACACACGUGUUACAAUGGCCGGUACAGAGGGCCGCUACCAGGUGACUGGAUGCCAAUCUCAAAAGCCGGUCGUAGUUCGGAUUGGAGUCUGUAACCCGACUCCAUGAAGUUGGAUUCGCUAGUAAUCGCGCAUCAGCCAUGGCGCGGUGAAUACGUUCCCGGGCCUUGUACACACCGCCCGUCAAGCCAUGGAAGCCGGGGGUGCCUGAAGUCCGUAACCGCGAGGAUCGGCCUAGGGCAAAACUGGUAACUGGGGCUAAGUCGU
rnacentral:rRNA from 1 species